UGGCGGGCACGCCUAACACAUGCAAGUCGAGCGGCAGCACGGGUACUUGUACCUGGUGGCGAGCGGCGGACGGGUGAGUAAUGCCUAGGAAUCUGCCUGGUAGUGGGGGAUAACGCUCGGAAACGGACGCUAAUACCGCAUACGUCCUACGGGAGAAAGCAGGGGACCUUCGGGCCUUGCGCUAUCAGAUGAGCCUAGGUCGGAUUAGCUAGUUGGUGAGGUAAUGGCUCACCAAGGCGACGAUCCGUAACUGGUCUGAGAGGAUGAUCAGUCACACUGGAACUGAGACACGGUCCAGACUCCUACGGGAGGCAGCAGUGGGGAAUAUUGGACAAUGGGCGAAAGCCUGAUCCAGCCAUGCCGCGUGUGUGAAGAAGGUCUUCGGAUUGUAAAGCACUUUAAGUUGGGAGGAAGGGCAGUUACCUAAUACGUGAUUGUUUUGACGUUACCGACAGAAUAAGCACCGGCUAACUCUGUGCCAGCAGCCGCGGUAAUACAGAGGGUGCAAGCGUUAAUCGGAAUUACUGGGCGUAAAGCGCGCGUAGGUGGUUUGUUAAGUUGAAUGUGAAAUCCCCGGGCUCAACCUGGGAACUGCAUCCAAAACUGGCAAGCUAGAGUAUGGUAGAGGGUGGUGGAAUUUCCUGUGUAGCGGUGAAAUGCGUAGAUAUAGGAAGGAACACCAGUGGCGAAGGCGACCACCUGGACUGAUAC
rnacentral:rRNA from 1 species